AUUGAACGCUGGCGGCAGGCCUAACACAUGCAAGUCGAACGAGUGGCGGACGGGUGAGUAAUGUCUGGGACACUCCCUGAUGGAGGGGGAUAACUACUGGAAACGGUAGCUAAUCCCGCAUACCAUCGGAUGUGCCCAGAUGGGAUUAGCUAGUAGGUGGGGUAAAGGGUCACCUAGGCGACGAUCCCUAGCUGGUGUGAGAGGAUGACGAGCCACACUGGAAAUGAGACACGGUCCAGACGCCUCCGGGAGGCAGCAGUGGGGAAUAUUGCACAAUGGGCGCAAGCGUGAUGCAGCCAUGCCGCGGGUGUGAAGAAGGCCUUCGGGUUGUACAGCACGUUCAGCGAGGAGGCGUUACGCGCAGAAGAAGCACCGGCUAACUCCGUGCCAGCAGCCGCGGUAAUUC
rnacentral:rRNA from 1 species